rnacentral:rRNA from 1 species
GACGAACGCUGGCGGCGUGCCUAAUACAUGCAAGUUGAGCGCUGAAGGUUGGUACUUGUACCGACUGGAUGAGCAGCGAACGGGUGAGUAACGCGUGGGGAAUCUGCCUUUGAGCGGGGGACAACAUUUGGAAACGAAUGCUAAUACCGCAUAAAAACUUUAAACACAAGUUUUAAGUUUGAAAGAUGCAAUUGCAUCACUCAAAGAUGAUCCCGCGUUGUAUUAGCUAGUUGGUGAGGUAAAGGCUCACCAAGGCGAGGAUACAUAGCCGACCUGAGAGGGGGAUCGGCCACAGUGGGACUGAGACACGGCCCAAACGCCUACGGGAGGCAGCAGUAGGGAAUCUUCGGCAAUGGACGAAAGUCUGACCGAGCAACGCCGCGUGAGUGAAGAAGGUUUUCGGAUCGUAAAACUCGGUUGGUAGAGAAGAACGUUGGUGAGAGUGGAAAGCUCAUCAAGUGACGGUAACUACCCAGAAAGGGACGGCUAACUACGUG